AUAUUUCUAUUCCCACUUUGUCACUGGUUGUAAGAGCUGCUAACAGAUGGCUAUAUCUUCUAGCCAGAAAAUUUCUUCUCUAGCAGCACUCUAGGUGCAGAUGGCCAACUGCCAGGAAGUGCUGGCCAAUUAUGAUUUCCUCACAUGGAAAUCACCCUUCUCGUCCUUUCCUUGCUAUCAUCUGGGAGCUGUUUGAGAAGUCCAUGAAAGUGGGUUGUUUCUGAAGAUCAGCAAGCAGCUAUAUUCCAAUGAUGAUGCCUUGGCUACUGUGCCAGUGCCCAUAGUCCUUCUGAGCAGAGUCUCAUGGCUGAAGAGUUCCAGUCUUUGGCCACCCAUCCAGACCAUGACUGAGGACACCUCUCAAAGGUUUGGGAUUGUUCAGUGUCAAACUGAUGAUGUCUUUCAAUACCAUAAAGACUCUACAGCUGUUCUUAGGCCAUUCAGCCUGUGCCCACCCACACCACCCUCCCAGUCUGCAAGAAAUCAACACUCAACCAUUUUUAGAGGCCAGAUCUCAGGAGAGUGGAAGUUGCUGACGAGGCAGUGAACAGAAAGCCAUGGCAACCCUUCAGUGAAAUCAAUGGAUUAUGGGAGUUUGGAUCCUCCAGUGCUUGGCAAAGCAGAACCGUGCAGAUGAUCCAACAUACAAUGGGGACAAAGCACAUGGUGAGGAGA